rnacentral:rRNA from 1 species
UACGGAGGGUGCAAGCAUUGAUCGGAAUUACUGGGCGUAAAGGGCGCGUAGGCGGUCUAAAAAGUCAGAUGUGAAAUUCCGGGGCUCAACCCCGGAGCUGCAUUUGAAACUCUUAGACUUGAGGUUGGUGAGGGAAAACGGAAUUCCACGUGUAGCGGUGAAAUGCGUAGAUAUGUGGAAGAACACCGGUGGUGAAGACGGUUUUCUGUGCCAAACCUGACGCUGAGGCGCGAAAGCUAGGGGAGCAAACAGG